rnacentral:rRNA from 1 species
CCUACGGGAGACAGCAGUGAGGAAUAUUGGUCAAUGGACGAGAGUCUGAACCAGCCAAGUAGCGUGAAGGAUGACUGCCCUAUGGUUUGUAAACUUCUUUUGUAUGGGAAUAAAAUGUUCCACGUGUGGGAUUUUGUAUGUACCAUAUGAAUAAGGAUCGGCUAACUCCGUGCCAGCAGCCGCGGUAAGACGGAGGAUCCGAGCGUUAUCCGGAUUUAUUGGGUUUAAGGGGAGCGUAGGUGGAUUGUUAAGUAAGUUGUGAAAGGUUGGGGCUAAACCGUAAAAUUGCAGUUGAAACUGGCAGUCUGGAGUACAGUAGGGGUGGGCGGAAUUCGUGGUGUAGCGGUGAA